AUCUUCAGGAUCUCCUUG
rnacentral:snRNA from 1 species